GCCGCCGUGAGGCGGGUUGGGGGAGCAACCGGAGGCGAAAGGUCAGUCCGUAGGAUAACGAACCCGAUUCGGCGGGAUAUGGCGACGAGCCUGCACGGAGACGGCGAAGUCUGAAACCCACCUGUAACGCUGCGAACGGCGUGGAAAGCGAUUUCAGGGCGAUAUCACGUGGUUGGGGGCGGAACGACAAGAAGGUGAAGCGA
rfam:Thiorhodovibrio sp. 970 genomic scaffold Thi970scaffold_6, whole genome shotgun sequence.